GAUGAACGCUGACAGAAUGCUUAACACAUGCAAGUCGAUUCGAUUUACCUUCGGGUAUUGAGGAUGGCGGACGGGUGAGUAACGCGUAAGGAACUUGCCUCUUGGUCUGGGACAACUGUUGGAAACGACAGCUAAUACCGGAUAUUAUGAGAUUCUCGCAUGGGAAACUUAUGAAAGCUAUAUGCGCCAAGAGAGAGCCUUGCGUUCCAUUAGCUAGUUGGUGGGGUAACGGCCCACCAAGGCGACGAUGGAUAGCCGGCCUGAGAGGGUGAACGGCCACAAGGGGACUGAGACACGGCCCUUACUCCUACGGGAGGCGGCAGUGGGGAAUAUUGGNNNNNGGGNNNNNAGCCUGAUCCAGCAAUUCUGUGUGCACGAUGAAGGUCUUCGGAUUGUAAAGUGCUUUCAGUUGGGAAGAAGAAAGUGACGGUACCAACAGAAGAAGCGACGGCUAAAUACGUGCCAGCAGCCGCGGUAAUACGUAUGUCGCAAGCGUUAUCCGGAUUUAUUGGGCGUAAAGCGCGUCUAGGCGGAAAAAUAAGUCUGAUGUUAAAAUGCGGGGCCCAACUCCGUAUUGCGUUGGAAACUGUUUUUCUAGAGUACUGGAGAGGUGGGCGGAACUACAAGUGUAGAGGUGAAAUUCGUAGAUAUUUGUAGGAAUGCCNANGGAGAANUCAGCUCACUGGNCAGANACUGACGCUAAAGCGCGAAAGCGUGGGGAGCAAACAGGAUUANAUACCCUGGUAGUCCAC
rnacentral:rRNA from 1 species